CCUACGGGGGGCAGCAGUGAGGAAUAUUGGUCAAUGGACGAGAGUCUGAACCAGCCAAGUAGCGUGAAGGAUGACUGCCCUAUGGGUUGUAAACUUCUUUUAUAUGGGAAUAAAAUGUUCCACGUGUGGGAUUUUGUACGUACCAUAUGAAUAAGGAUCGGCUAACUCCGUGCCAGCAGCCGCGGUAAUACGGAGGAUCCGAGCGUUAUCCGGAUUUAUUGGGUUUAAAGGGAGCGUAGGUGGAUUGUUAAGUCAGUUGUGAAAGUUUGCGGCUCAACCGUAAAAUUGCAGUUGAAACUGGCAGUCUUGAGUACAGUAGAGGUGGGCGGAAUUCGUGGUGUAGCGGUGAAAUGCUUAGAUAUCACGAAGAACUCCGAUUGCGAAGGCAGUUCACUGGACUGCAACUGACACUGAGGCUCGAAAGUGUGAGUAUCAAACAGGAUUAGAUACCCCAGUAGUC
rnacentral:rRNA from 1 species